AUUGAACGCUGGCGGCAGGCUUAACACAUGCAAGUCGAGCGGGGUGAUGGUGCUUGCACUAUCACUUAGCGGCGGACGGGUGAGUAAUGCUUAGGAAUCUGCCUAUUAGUGGGGGACAACAUCUCGAAAGGGAUGCUAAUACCGCAUACGUCCUACGGGAGAAAGCAGGGGAUCACUUGUGACCUUGCGCUAAUAGAUGAGCCUAAGUCGGAUUAGCUAGUUGGUGGGGUAAAGGCCUACCAAGGCGACGAUCUGUAGCGGGUCUGAGAGGAUGAGCCGCCACACUGGGACUGAGACACGGCCCAGACUCCUACGGGAGGCAGCAGUGGGGAAUAUUGGACAAUGGGGGGAACCCUGAUCCAGCCAUGCCGCGUGUGUGAAGAAGGCCACAUGGUUGUAAAGCACUUUAAGCGAGGAGGAGGCUCUUUUGGUUAAUACCCAAGAUGAGUGGACGUUACUCGCAGAAUAAGCACCGGCUAACUCUGUGCCAGCCGCCGCAGUAA
rnacentral:rRNA from 1 species